GCCAUGUCAACAACUUAAGUCUCCGACCGGAGUCCUUUUUAGGAGUGUAAUUGCGGGAGAAACAUAGCUCCCCCCUUUGGGACCAGUUGGCCAGGGUGACAGGGAAGAGAACACCCACACACGGGCUGCUGCACCUGUUCUCGGUGAGGGAGGGGAACACAGUGCUGACCCCUUCACAGGAGGGAGUUCUUAGAAUGUGACAUUGUUCGAGGAAUAUGGAGCUCCAACAGGACCUUCAGAGCAACUGAAGAGGCUGUUCUUUGAGCUCGCCCACUAACACGGCUCACCUAACACAACAGACGAGCGAACGAGCGAGAGGCUAGGCCACACAGCACUCUACCCAUUUUAUUCAGCCUCCCCAGCCCUGCUGUCACAGAAUAACACUCCAUUAGAGGACGACUGGAUCAAAACAGACCCAGAUAAUGCAGGACAAAGAGCCCUCUGAUUAUACUGAGACGAGAUACAAAUUACAACAAAAAAGGACAGAGACACUGACUGGGACAGAAAGGAAAUUCAAGUUAACGCUGAAAUCUGGACAGACAGCCAGAGGCUCACCCUGCUCAGCUACCAUUUAGGGACAACCUGCACGGCCAGACAGGAACCAGGGUUCGGAAUCUGCGUGGUCUCGAUUGCCCUCAGUACUCCUGGACACCAAACCCCCCGCCCCAACCCCACCAACAUAAGAAGAGGGUAGUCUAUGCACAUGGAAUCAUGCACACGCAGAGUGAUGAUGCAAAGAGAUCUCUCCAAAGAGGACCGCUCCGUCCAAUCGCUGCUCAGAAGUGUCUCGUGCCCUCUUCCAACGGCUACAGAGGAGGAUGGCUACGUGAGCCUGAGUUCGAGUCAGAGAGGAGAGUGCAGCGCCGCUUGGCUGCCCUCGGGGGUGUGAUGUAAGCGGUGCCCCAGCUGAUUUAUACACACACAGACAAGUGUUCCCAUAAAGAAGGACAAUUAAAAAAAGGACACAGAGAGCUUGGUGCAUUCAGAAAUACACCCUUUAGCACAGUAUAGCUGCUUCGGCCCCAGCAGUUGGCCUCGCUUCAUUUCAACAUGUAGCCAUGAGAACGGACUCGGUGACACUGGAAAUAAGCAUCUAAGUCACUGUAAAACCAGAUGGGGAACGCCAAGGCUUAGCAGGGAUUAAGUGUGGCUGCCUGCUACCUACCUGCACGUUCAGGAGCAGAUAUAUGCUUGUGUCAGGCGGGAUCACUGCAAAAAGGGGGCUUUCCCAGAGACGCAUAACGCCAAGGCACUAAAAAGCGGCUGCUGAAAAGUCUGACAAUUGAUGUAAGAUAAAUACAAAACCACCAUGAGAACAAUGCUCCAAUUCAACUGUUGGAGGGUCCGUGUUACUUAGCUCAAGGUCACGGUUCCAAUCCCUCAGGGUCGUUUUGAGAAUCCAAUCGGCCUAACCAAACGUCCAUUGACAGCGACACCACCAACCAAUCCCAAUGACUAUUGAUCAUGGGAUCUAGUGCUUUUUAAUAAUUUCCCUGAUCAGAGAAACACGAUCAAUAUACUAGAUUGCCCCAUUCCCCAAAUCCCAGCCACACACUCAUUGAUGCUGCCUCUCCCUCCAUUAGCCGAGUGUCUAUAAAUGCAGUCGGAUUAAUACCGCAACAGUUCUGCCAUUUCUGCUUGUUUGUGAAUAAAGCUUAAGGAUUCAGGC